rnacentral:rRNA from 1 species
UACAGAGGGGGCAAGCGUUGUUCGGAAUUACUGGGCGUAAAGGGCGCGUAGGCGGCCUGUUAAGUCGAACGUGAAAUCCCCGGGCUCAACCCGGGGAACUGCGUCCGAUACUGGCAGGCUUGAAUCCGGGAGAGGGAUGCGGAAUUCCAGGUGUAGCGGUGAAAUGCGUAGAUAUCGGGAGGAACACCAGUGGCGAAGGCGACUACCGUGGCCUG